GCCCCUAUGGCACAGUGGUAAUGCGUCGCACUCGUAACACAGUGACAUGCGAAGAUCCUCGGUUCAAUUCCGAGUGGGGGCA
rfam:Pseudomassariella vexata strain CBS 129021 BCR38scaffold_1, whole genome shotgun sequence.